CAAUUGGGUUGUUAUUGUUUAUUCGCAUAAAAUUGAAUUGUUGUGGUUUUGUCUGCCGUAUUCAGAGCUGGUUUUGGUUAACAGGUUUCAGUGGGGGUCUUCGUAGCCACUUGGCUACGCGUUCGCUUACCGAGCGAUCGAUCGUGAGUUCAAACUCAGGGCCCUCAAUUGACCAUCUUUGUGUAGUUAUAGAAUAACUACGUCCACGCAACCAUCAUCAGCGAUGGAAAUAGAUCCACGGUGGAACAAAGAUUGAUUGCAAGAAACAUCGGGCUGCUGUUCUAUAAAUAACCCAACAAUGAUCAAUACCAACUGUCUCCGCUGUCCGGUCUGCUGAACAAUGGAAGAACAGAAAGAAUACCCUUACGCCUAAAAUGGCUACUACUGUGUAAUUUACCAUAAUAAACAUAAACAUAUGUACAUGUACGCACUUUGAACCCGGCUCUGUUACAGCUAAAAUGCUAAUGAGCCUAAUAAAUAAAUAAAUGGGAUAAAAAAACAGGUUUCAGUGGACGAUGGAAAAGGUA